AGCUUUGCACAGGGGUAGUAUCAGAGCCAAUGAGGUUUAUCCAAGGCAUAAUGCAUAAUUAUUGCUAAUUGAAAACUCUUCCCAAUAUUCUACCAUGAUGACUUGCCAAUAUAGUUGGUGUUGGCAAUUUUGGGCAGUGUCUACAGAGA
ensembl:snRNA U4 U4 spliceosomal RNA